ACGCCCGCCCCGCCGCCGCGCGCUCCCGACGGCCGACGCUCGCCUCUGUGCGGCCGGCGCGCGGCCGCUGCCCUCAGCCUCGGGUCUGUAGCCCUCACGGCGUUCCCAUUGGCUCCCAGGCGCGGGCGCGGGCGCGGGCGACGUCUCUCGCGGGGCACGUUCUUCUCAUUCAUGCGGCUCGCGCCGCCGAGCCCGCCCCCGUUCACUCUUCCAUUCACCCCCUAACCCCCGCCCCCACGGCGCUCUGGAGCGUGCGCGCGACCGCGGGCGACCGCGGCGACCUCGCUUUCUGAUUGGCUGCAGGGGCACGGCGCCGCAAACACGUAGAGACACGGGAGCGCGUGCGCCUGGCCGUCGUGUCUGGCUGGAUGGUCGGGAAAGGGGGCAUGGCGAACUGCGCAGGUUUGGGGACGAGGAACUGAUCUGGCGAGAUCUUUCUCUUCUUUUGUCCGCCUUCCCAUUUGUAAUGUAGCCAAGAUAAACUUUUAAGCGAAAAAAACUACGUAUGUACCGGAAGUGCUCAAAAACAAGCAGAUGCCCUUUCUUAGUUCACCAGCCUCCUCCAAGUUGGCCUGGUACAGUCCUGAAAAGCGUCUACGAUAGCCAAUCACCGUUAAGCCUUUCCGGCUUCCUUCCUUGCCUCUUCAUUCAUUGGUGUGAGGAUUAGAUAGGAGCUCAAGUUGUCAGUCACGCCCAGCAAGUCCUUUCACCCACUGACCCAUCCUGCCAACCCAAUUUUUCUACAAAGACCUGUGUGAAUCAUCAUGUCUUUUGGCCAGAGCAUACUAAAUGGAAAAAGCAUUCCAUCAUCCAACCAGAGGAUGCUUAAUAAGAUGACUUCUGAAAAAUAGUCCAGAGUAAAAUGAAGACUAAAACAAUGUAUUAUCCAG